ACAUGCAAGUCAACGGAACUAAGCGACUUCGGAGACUUCGGUCAAUGUUUGCUUGGUUUAGUGGCGGACGGGUGAGUAACGCGUGGAUAACCUGCCUCAGUACAGGGGAUACAGUUGAAAUGACUGCUAAUACCGCAUAAGCGCACGGAAUCGCAUGUUUCUGUGUGAAAAGCUCCGACGGUAUGAGAUGGAUCCGCGUCUGAUUAGCUGGUUGGCGGGGUAACAGCCCACCAAGGCGACGAUCAGUAGCCGGCCUGAGAGGGUGAACGGCCACAUUGGGACUGAGACACGGCCCAAACUCCUACGGGAGGCAGGCAGUGGGGGAUAUUGCACAAUGGGGGAAACCCUGAUGCAGCGAACCGCCGCGUGAGUGAAGAAGUAUUUCGGUAUGUAAAGCUCUAUCAGCAGGGAAGAUAAUGACGGUACCUGACUAAGAAGCACCGGCUAAAUACGUGCCAGCAGCCGC
rnacentral:rRNA from 1 species